rnacentral:tRNA from 1 species
AAAAAGAUAAGCUAACUAAGCUAAUGGGUUCAUACCCCUUUUAUGAAGGUUACACUCCUUCUCUUUUUA